rnacentral:rRNA from 1 species
AAAGUUCUGGUAAUUUAUAUGAGUUUGAUCUUAGCUCAGAAUGAACGCGUGGGGAAUACUUUACACAUGCUAAUCAAUGACAUUUAAGUGUCAUGGUGUAUUGGUGAGUAAUAUAAAAGAAUUUAUUUCUAGAUUAAGAAUAAUAUAUUAAAUUUUAAUAAACGCAUAAGUGUACUUAAAAGUUAUAACUGUCUAGGAAUGAGCUUUUAUCUAAUUAGCUACUUAGUAUAAUAAUACUAUAUUAAGGCGACAAUUAGUAGCUGGCCUGAGAGGGUGAUCAGCCACAUUGGGAUUGAGAUACAGCCCAACCCUUAUAUAAGGGCAGCAGUGAGGAAUAUUUUGCAAUAAGCGCAAGCUUGACAGAGUCAUUUCCCGUGAAGGAAGAAGGUAUUAAGAUAUUGUAAACUUCAGUUACAUAAUUUACUAAAUACUGAUAGUAGUAAGUAAAAAUAUCGGCUAAUUUCGUGCCAGCAGCCGCGGUAAUACGAAAGAUAUUAGCGUUAUUCGGAAUUAUUGGGCGUAAAAUGUGUGUAGAUUGUUUGUUAAGUUUUAACUUAAAUAUUUUAUUUAAUAAAAUAGAGUUUAGUAAAUACUAACAACACUAGAGGGUUAAAGAAAUAAAACGAAUUUUUUAGGUAGUAGUUUAAUACGUUGAUCUAAAAAGGAAGACUAAGUGCGAAAGCUUUUUAUUAUUUAAUCCCUGACAUUGAUACACUAAAGCUAGGGGAUCAAAUGAGAUUAGAGACCUCAGUAGUCCUGGCUGUAAAUUAUGAAAACUAAAAAUAUUUAAGUUAUUUUAAAGCUAACGCGUAAGUUUUCUGCCUGGGUAGUACGUUUGAAAAAAUGAAACUUAAAAGAAUUGGCGGGGAUUCUUACAAGCGGUGGGGUAUGUGAUUUAAUUCGAUGCAACACGAAAGACCUUACCAAAAUUAGACUAAAACAGGUAGUGCAUGGCUGACGUCAGUCUGUGCCGUGAGGCCAUGGAUUUAGUUCCGUAACAGACGAAACCCUUUUUUAAUAUUAUAAUAUUAUAUACCGAUAUUUAUUAUAUAUAAAUAUAGGAAGGUAAGGAAGACGUCAAGUCCUCAUGCUCCUUAUAUUUUGGGACACCACAUGCCACAUUGGAAAAUAUAAUUAUUAUUAUCGAAAGAUAUAAUUAAAACUAUAAAGUUUUCCUAGGUACGGAGUUUAGAUUGAAACCAUCUAAACAAAGAAGGAAUCGCUAGUAAUCACUUAUCAGGAUGUAGUGGUGAAUAGAUUUAAGAGUCCUGUACACACCGCCCGUCACAUCAUGGAAAUAUAUAAUUAUAAAAAUAAUUUAUGAUUAUUAUAUAAUAAUAUAUAACUGGGAUGAAGUCGUAACAAGGUAGCAGUACUGGAAGGUGCGGCUAGAAAAUUU